rnacentral:ncRNA from 2 species
UACCACAGGGAUAACUGG